UACGGAGGGUGCGAGCGUUGUCCGGAAUCAUUGGGCGUAAAGGGCGCGUAGGUGGCCCGGUCAGUUCGUGGUGAAAGCGCGGGGCUCAACCCUGCGUCGGCCAUGAAUACUGCCGCGGCUGGAGCACUGUAGAGGCAGGCGGAAUUCCGGGUGUAGCGGUGGAAUGCGUAGAGAUCCGGAAGAACACCGGUGGCGAAGGCGGCCUGCUGGGCAGUAACUGACGCUGAGGAGCGAAAGCGUGGGGAGCGAACAGG
rnacentral:rRNA from 1 species